rnacentral:rRNA from 1 species
UACGUAGGGGGCAAGCGUUAUCCGGAUUUACUGGGUGUAAAGGGAGCGUAGACGGCAUUGCAAGUCCGGAGUGAAAGCCCACGGCCCAACCGUGGGACUGCUCUGGAAACUGUAGAGCUGGGGUGCGGGAGGGGCAGGCGGAAUUCCUAGUGUAGCGGUGAAAUGCGUAGAUAUUAGGAGGAACACCAGUGGCGAAGGCGGCCUGCUGGACGGUGACUGACGCUGAGGCUCGAAAGCGUGGGGAGCAAACAGG